UACAGAGGUCUCAAGCGUUGUUCGGAUUCAUUGGGCGUAAAGGGUGCGUAGGUGGCGCGCUAAGUCAGGUGUGAAAUUUCGGAGCUUAACUCCGAAACUGCAUUUGAUACUGGCGUGCUUGAGGACUGGAGAGGAGACUGGAAUUUACGGUGUAGCAGUGGAAUGCGUAGAGAUCGUAAGGAAGACCAGUGGCGAAGGCGGGUCUCUGGACAGUUCCUGACACUGAGACACGAAGGCCAGGGGAGCAAACGGG
rnacentral:rRNA from 1 species